AAGUCGUAACAAGGUUUCCGUAGGUGAACCUGCGGGAAGGAUCAUUACCGAAUCGUCGACACGAGUUGUUGCUGGCCCUCAAACGGGGGCAUGUGCACGCUCUGUUUGCAUCCACUCACACCUGUGCACCCUCUGUAGUUCUGUGGUCUGGGGGACCCCUCCUGCCUGCGGUUCUAUGUCUUUACACACACACUGUAACAUGGUCUUAUGGAAUGCAUGCAGCGUUUAACGCAAUAAAAUACAACUUUCAGCAACGGAUCUCUUGGCUCUCGCAUCGAUGAAGAACGCAGCGAAAUGCGAUAAGUAAUGUGAAUUGCAGAAUUCAGUGAAUCAUCGAAUCUUUGAACGCACCUUGCGCCCUUUGGCCAUUCCGAAGGGCAUGCCUGUUUGAGUAUCAUGAACACCUCAACUCUCAUGGCUUGCCAUGAUGAGCUUGGACUUUGGAGGCUUUACUGGCCCGUGGUCGGCUCCUCUCAAAUGAAUCAGCUUACCGGUGCACGGUGGCGUUGCAGGUGUGAUAACUAUCUACGCUUGCGAUCGUCCGCCAGGUAACCUCUGGCAUCGUUGGAGGUUCGCUGGGGCUUACAAAUGUCUCUCCUCAGCGAAGACNGAUUUCUGAACGUUUGAUCUCAAAUCAGGUAGGACUACCCGCUGAACUUAA
rnacentral:rRNA from 1 species